rnacentral:lncRNA from 1 species
CGAGAGUGAAUGGAAAUGGAUGAAACCGUUACUACUGCUACCUUACUUAGAGUCGGUAGGUAGGUAGGUAGGUAGGUAGGUAGGUAGGUAGGUGUGUAGAUAAAGUAAUAAUGGUGAGUAAUUCAGUUCGUUCUGAUGUGGUGUUUGGUUUUGGUGGGAGUAUCAAACGCCACUGUGGCACUCGCCGGAGUUUCAAACUGUCAAGUAAAAGGAAGACAAUAAUUAGCGGUGGCAAAAUAAGUUACUACUCCUUCUCCUGUGUUGAAAUUGAAAUUGAUAUAUGUUAUUUUAUUUUAUUUUUUUAAAAAAA